AACGCGAAGAACCUUACCCACCUUUGACAUGUACGGAAGUGACCAGAGAUGGACAUGUGCUCGAAAGAGAACCGUAACACAGGUGCUGCAUGGCUGUCGUCAGCUCGUGUCGUGAGAUGUUGGGUUAAGUCCCGCAACGAGCGCAACCCUUGCCAUUAGUUGCUACGAAAGGGCACUCUAAUGGGACUGCCGGUGACAAACCGGAGGAAGGUGGGGAUGACGUCAAGUCCUCAUGGCCCUUAUAGGUGGGGCUACACACGUCAUACAAUGGCUGGUACAAAGGGUUGCCAACCCGCGAGGGGGAGCUAAUCCCAUAAAGCCAGUCGUAGUCCGGAUCGCAGUCUGCAACUCGACUGCGUGAAGUCGGAAUCGCUAGUAAUCGUGGAUCAGAAUGUCACGGUGAAUACGUUCCCGGGCCUUGUACACACCGCGCAUA
rnacentral:rRNA from 1 species